rnacentral:tRNA from 1 species
CGGGGUGUAGCGCAGCCUGGUAGCGCACCUGCUUUGGGAGCAGGGGGUCGGAGGUUCAAAUCCUCUCGCCCCGACCA